UACCAUCUCUAUCACCAUUAGGAUGGCUAUCACUACCAUAUUAUGGUCAUCAUCGUUACUACUGCUGUCACUACCAUGGCCAUCAAAUACUACUACCAUGUAUUGCCCCUCCCACCACCUUUGCCGCACCGUCAUGGCUGCCAUCAUUACAUCAUCGGUGCACCAUCGUUGCCGCCAUUCUAGAAAUAUAUAUGUAUUUUUUCCUACUUCUGGAAAUGGAAAUAAGAUGAAUCCCCAUCGUACCAUAGCAAAGAUAGAGGUGAAUUGCAUAACUAGAAGGAACACAGCUUGAAUGGAUUUGCCGGCCAUGAUACGAGAGGAUUUUUGCUAUUCGAACACAAGUUUGUCUGUUAGAUUCCACCCUGUCGUUGUAGGUUGCUGACCCGGAAAGGGGGGCACAUCGUCAAUCCAGCGCGUGCCUGCAAUCUACGCAUGGAGUAAGCGCGUGAAACAAACUUCUUCUGCAUCUCUCCAAAUCCAACCGACCCGAGCUCAACGUCCAAAGGAGCGCAUAUCGAGAUGGAUCCGACCGACUUGUUGACUUUGCUUCUCCUCCUUUUGUCCGCGACCGUCGUACGCGCCUUGCUACCCCAACUCGCACGCCACUUGUUUGAGCAAUUGCCUGACCGGGCAUUUGCACGAUCAUGUCGGCAGGGGACGGUUACCUCGUCGCUCUAGCUGUUACAUCAAAGCUUCGUGUUCGAUACUCAAAGCAACAAGUGUUUUAAUUCCCAAUCUAGAGCGAAACAUUUCUGGUGGAAUGCGUACCUCCAAGUCCAUCUGUCACAAAUUUGAGCCUAAGCCUAGGUGGAAUGAUCGCUGAUCUAUAUUGUAUGCUUUAAUAUAUGUACGACUGAUCAUGUCGCUGAUUACUAUUUCUGUUAUUUUUCUCAUGAUUUGAUGGAUUUUGGAUUUGUGGACUGAUAGUAAUGUUGGGCUUCAACCGACCCGUGCUUAUACA